UGGGGGAGGGUGAGAGGAAGGAGAGGAGCAGGAAAGGUAACUAUUGGUUACUGGACUUAAUACUUGGGUGAUGAAAUAACACAUACAGCAAAGCCCUGUAACACUUGCUUAUGUAUGUACAAAAGCUUCACAUAUACCCCCAAACCUAAAAAAAAAAAAAAAAAAAAAAGUGUGCUUACGAGCUCUGUGAGUCUGCUGAAAUGAUGGUAGAUGAGAAGCUGUCCUCAAUCAUUCGCCCCCCGCUCCCCAGCCAAUUUUCUCUGUGCAAGAGUGGCUAUUUACUUUGGUUACAAGAUAAAAUUUAUGUAAGUGGUUGAGCCUAGACUUAGGGGCACUAGUUUCAGAAAAAAAUGAAACUAUAUAUAUUUCCAUGUUUUUUCCAAGGCCAAGGGUAGUUUUGUCCUAAGACAACAGUAAUCAGUAUUUUUUGCUUUUGUUUUGUUUUGGUUUGGUUUUCUUUACACUCUUUAACUACUUUUUACUUUUCACAUACCUUACUCUCUUGUACUAUGAAAACUUAUUGAAGACUCCAAAGAGGUUUUACUUCUAGGUUGUAAAUAUCAGUACUCACUGUUGGAAAGUGAAACAGAACCACUACAAUGCUUAUUUAAUGAUGCAAAGGAAGAUAGCAAAGAUAAAAACAUUGCAUAUUAAUAACAUCUCGGUAAUAGGAUGAAGUUAUUUCUGGCCUCAGAAACAGCCCUGAGAUCUGUCCUAAAAUCAAGUGUCAUUUUGUUCCACAUAUGAAAGAGCAGAACCACAGACACAACUUGGAAAGUAAAACUUAUUUGCCUUGGUUUUUAUAAUACCUGAAUCUGGAAAUCUAUAAAACCUGUUAAGAUACUAGCAAAGCUUUCUCAAUUUUGAUGAGCUUAUUUUCUUUGUUUACUGACUAAUAUCUUCAUCUGCAAUAUAAAGUGUUACCAUUUUUGUUGUGUGUAAUCUGUCUAGAUAAUAAAGAUUUUCUUUUCACCAGA
rnacentral:antisense_RNA from 1 species